UGGGGAAUAUUGGACAAUGGGCGCAAGCCUGAUCCAGCCAUGCCGCGUGAGUGAUGAAGGCCCUAGGGUUGUAAAGCUCUUUCACCGGUGAAGAUAAUGACGGUAACCGGAGAAGAAGCCCCGGCUAACUUCGUGUCAGCAGCCGCGGUAAUACGAAGGGGGCUAGCGUUGUUCGGAUUUACUGGGCGUAAAGCGCACGUAGGCGGACUUUUAAGUCAGGGGUGAAAUCCCGGGGGCUCAACCCCGGAACUGCCUUUGAUACUGGAAGUCUUGAGUAUGGUAGAGGUGAGUGGAAUUCCGAGUGUAGAGGUGAAAUUCGUAGAUAUUCGGAGGAACACCAGUGGCGAAGGCGGCUCACUGGACCAUUACUGACGCUGAGGUGCGAAAGCGUGGGGGAGCAAAACAGGAUUAGAUACCCUGGUAGUCCACGCCGUAAACGAUGAAUGUUAGCCGUUGGGGAGUUUACUCUUCGGUGGCGCAGCUAACGCAUUAAACAUUCCGCCUGGGGAGUACGGUCGCAAGA
rnacentral:rRNA from 1 species